rnacentral:rRNA from 1 species
CCUACGGGAGGCAGCAGUGGGGAAUAUUGGGCAAUGGGCGCAAGCCUGACCCAGCAACGCCGCGUGAAGGAAGAAGGCUUUCGGGUUGUAAACUUCUUUUCUGAGGGACGAAGAAAGUGACGGUACCUCAGGAAUAAGCCACGGCGAACUACGUGCCAGCAGCCGCGGUAAUACGGAGUUGGCAAGCGUUAUCCGGAUUUAUUGGGUGUAAAGGGCGUGUAGGCGGGAAAGCAAGUCAGAUGUGAAAACGCAGGGCUCAACCGUGGGCCUGCAUUUGAAACUGUUUUUCUUGAGUGCCGGAGAGGUAAUCGGAAUUCCGGGUGUAGCGGUGAAAUGCGUAGAUAUAAGGAGGAACACCAGUGGCGAAGGCGGAUUGCUGGACAGUAACUGACGGUGAGGCGCGAAAGCGUGGGGAGCAAACAGGAUUAGAUACCCUAGUAGUC